rnacentral:rRNA from 1 species
GACGAACGCUGGCGGCGUGCUUAACACAUGCAAGUCGAACGAAGUGGCGAACGGGUGAGUAACGCGUAAUCAACCUGCCCUUCAGAGGGGGACAACAGUUGGAAACGACUGCUAAUACCGCAUACUGAAGGAGGGGAUUGCGUCUGAUUAGCUAGUUGGAGGGGUAACGGCCCAACAAGGCGAUGAUCAGUAGCCGGUCUUAGAGGAAGGACGGGCAAAAUGGGACCGGGAAAAGGCCCAACAGCCUACGGGAGGCAGCAGUGGGGAAUCUUCCGCAAUUGACGAAAGUCUGACGGAGCAACGCCGCGUGAGUGAUGACGGCCUUCGGGUUUUAAAGCUCUGUUAAUCGGGACGCAGUACCGGAAUAGAAAGCAACGGCUAACUACGUGCCAGCCGCCGCGGUAAUUC